CGCGGCCUAUCAGCUUGUUGGUGGGGUAAUGGCCUACCAAGGCGACGACGGGUAGCCGGCCUGAGAGGGUGACCGGCCACACUGGGACUGAGACACGGCCCAGACUCCUACGGGAGGCAGCAGUGGGGAAUAUUGCACAAUGGGCGCAAGCCUGAUGCAGCGACGCCGCGUGGGGGAUGACGGCCUUCGGGUUGUAAACCUCUUUCACCAUCGGCGAAGCCGGGAGCUUUUGUUUCUGGUGACGGUAGGUGGAGAAGAAGCACCGGCCAACUACGUGCCAGCAGCCGCGGUAAUACGUAGGGUGCGAGCGUUGUCCGGAAUUACUGGGCGUAAAGAGCUCGUAGGUGGUUUGUCGCGUUGUCCGUGAAAUUCCCUGGCUUAACUGGGGGCGUGCGGGCGAUACGGGCAGACUGGAGUACUGCAGGGGAGACUGGAAUUCCUGGUGUAGCGGUGGAAUGCGCAGAUAUCAGGAGGAACACCGGUGGCGAAGGCGGGUCUCUGGGCAGUAACUGACGCUGAGGAGCGAAAGCGUGGGGAGCGAACAGGAUUAGAUACCCUGGUAGUCCACGCCGUAAACGGUGGGUACUAGGUGUGGGUUUCCUUCCUUGGGAUCCGUGCCGUAGCUAACGCAUUAAGUACCCCGCCUGGGGAGUACGG
rnacentral:rRNA from 1 species